rnacentral:rRNA from 1 species
UUAGGGGGAGGUGGUGACUGGCACGGCCGGCGGGAUCUAGCUGGGCUCGUGAUGGCGGCCGCAGGGGGUGUUGGCGUCGGGACGGCGGCCGCAGGGGUGGUGGCGUGGGGGUAGCGGUCGCAGGGGGUGGUGGUGUCGGGACGGCGGAGGGGAUCGAUGGGGUGGUGGUGUCCGGUGGGAUCUAGGACUCAAGACGUCGGCUGUCGGGCGUAGUUGUGUCGGGGCGGUGGCGUCCGUCGGGAGGUGGGAUUGCCAGGCUAGUGACGGCGGAAACGGGGGUUGGUGGGGUGUAGUCGCGAUUGCUCGUGCCUCGUGGGGGUGUCUGCUGGUGAUAGUGGCUCGCUGAGGUGGUGGCUUGCGGAGGGGUUCGUCCCGAAGGGGAGGUGGACUCGUCCGUUCCUAGCUCGCCCUGACGGAGGAGCUGCAGGAGAGGCUAGGUGGUUCGUCGUCUCACAGGGAGAAGAGGGUACUGGUUGAGUGAUGGUAUAGUUGUAGGAUACAGACGGAGGAGACGGGGUAGUUCUCGUAAACACCGCCACCCCUGCUGGGUUAAGUACUCCUACAUCUAGGUCCCUCGUAACUGGGAGAAGAUUUUCUUUUUCUUCGCACUACGCCUACGAAAAGCUGUUAAGUAUCGACUACUAUCGCUCCUCGAAAUAGGUCCCACGUAUGUUGGAAGAAUUUCGAUGCAAAACAACAAUCCGAUGAGGUAUAGUUUAGAGAACCUCCUUUUUCUUACCUUAUUCUUUCUCUGAUUCUGUUACAAGUUCUUGCUCGCCUUCUCUCCGAUCGCUCUUAAUCUUGUUCUUUGCUGCUCCUAAAACUUACUAAAUCGGCGGAAUGUAAAAGUUUAUAUUUACUUCUUAAACCUCCGGGUAGAUCAGUCGCUGUUUGAUUUUCCUUCUUCGACAUCCGAAGGGUUUCCACGUGUUCAAGUGAUUCCAAACCUCCUAGAAGUUCGACGACUUCUAAAUCUUCUAGAUGUUACAGGGCGCAGAAAAAAAAUUGGAUCUGUAAACGAGAUGAGUAAAACCACCACCAAACCAACGCACCGUGAUGAAAUCAAACCAACACCCCAUUUGUAUAUAUACAUGAGGAAAGUACCGUGUUGGAGACAUAUAUAACAGCAAUACAAAUAGUUUACUUCAAAUUCCAAAAACUACUUCGGAUAUACAAUGUAACUAACUUCACG